rnacentral:rRNA from 1 species
AUUGAACGCUGGCGGCAGGCCUAACACAUGCAAGUCGAGCGGAUGAAGGGAGCUUGCUCCUGGAUUCAGCGGCGGACGGGUGAGUAAUGCCUAGGAAUCUGCCUGGUAGUGGGGGAUAACGUCCGGAAACGGGCGCUAAUACCGCAUCCGUCCUGAGGGAGAAAGUGGGGGUUCUUCGGACCUCACGCUAUCAGAUGAGCCUAGGUCGGAUUAGCUAGUUGGUGGGGUAAAGGCCUACCAAGGCGACGAUCCGUAACUGGUCUGAGAGGAUGAUCAGUCACACUGGAACUGAGACACGGUCCAGACUCCUACGGGAGGCAGCAGUGGGGAAUAUUGGACAAUGGGCGAAAGCCUGAUCCAGCCAUGCCGCGUGUGUGAAGAAGGUCUUCGGAUUGUAAAGCACUUUAAGUUGGGAGGAAGGGCAGUAAGUUAAUACCUUGCUGUUUUGACGUUACCAACAGAAUAAGCACCGGCUAACUUCGUG